GACGAACCGUGCGAACGUUGUUCGGAAUCACUGGGCUUAAAGGGCGCGUAGGCGGGCUCCCAAGUCUGGGGUGAAAUCUUUCGGCUUAACCGGAAAAGUGCCUCGGAUACUGGGAGCCUUGAGGGAGGCAGGGGCGGAUGGAACUUCCGGUGGAGCGGUGAAAUGCGUUGAUAUCGGAAGGAACGCCGGUGGCGAAAGCGAUCCGCUGGACCUCUUCUGACACUGAGGCGCGAAAGCCAGGGGAGCGAACGGG
rnacentral:rRNA from 1 species